ensembl:lncRNA
CACUAUAGUGCAUUAGUAAAUCACCAUAACUCCCCAGAUCAAAGCCAAUAAGCAUAGGUCUAUUUCUUUUUGAAUUUUUAUUUCAAGAUAUCAGUCCCCUGCCCAUUCCAAAGGUCUAUUUGAACACAAUUUCAGCUCUUUUUUUCUUUCCCGAAUAACACCUGUAAAACCAUUUAUGUUCUUCCUCACCACAGGAAAAGUAAAUCCCUUCUUAUAUAUAAAUACAUAUAACAAUCUGUUUCAAAAACCCUUAUUGCAUACAGCCUCCACACAAGCAAACUUUUUUCUCCAUUUCUCUGAGUUUUUUUUCUUCUUUCUGUUUUCUCUGUGGCUAAAGUUGACCUACUGCAUAGAACAAGACCUGUCACCUUCUGACUCACCCUCUCCCCCAAAGACACUGAAGAGCCUUGAGGAAAUUCAUGAAGCAUCAUUAAGCACUGAGUUAAAACUCUCAAAGGAAAAAAAAUGUGUUUCAUUAUAAUCAAGUCAGAAAAUAGAUUUGUCCUCCAUUCUUUCUGUAAUGGCAAACACCUGCGCUAUCUUAGACUAGUCGCUAGACUCAGUGACGUGUGUGUUCAUCCAAGGUGCUUAUUUUGACUAUGAAGUGACAAUGAACACCACACCACUUAAGCCUGGUCUGGAUGACUUGCUCCCUUUAAAUCACUGUUCAGACACUCCUCACCCCCAACUUCAGUCUUUGCCCUAUACCCACCCUCCUUGUCUAGUUUUAGAAACAGCUAUCAGUUACUUCUUCACUGGAUCCAACUUAGGCAUUCUUAUAUAUGGUUUCUAUGGCACUGGUCCUCCAACGUAAAUGUACAUAUGAAUGAUCUGGGUAUUUUGUUAAAAUUUUGAUUCUAUGUCAGCAGAUCUAGAGUGAGGGCCAAAAAUUUUCAUUCCUGACAAACUCCUAGGUGGGGUGAGGGCUACUGAUCCGAGAUCACACUUGGGUUUAAAAUGUUCUAUUGUAACCCUUUAUAGGGUUUUUGUUUCCAAACAUGAGCUCUAGAGGAUACAUUUUACAUAGUUACUUAUGCAUCAUUUCUGCCACAUAAAUGGCCAAAUCAGUCCAACAGAGAAUAGUGGUUGAAUACCUACUUCAAAGUCCUUAGUCAAACAUCUUCAUGUUAGCUUGGUCAAUGUUUUCUAAAGCAUUUGUCAUUUCAAAAUCCAAAAGACUUCUGUCCAAGUCUUUCAAACGCCGUCAGUAGCCCAUCAGUCAUUAAUAUUCUUCUCUCUCCUUAUCACCUCAUCCCCAAGUUAUAUUAAUAUAAGAUUUAACAUUUAAUUCUCUGCAGAUGGGGUUCAGGGCCAAAGAGGCUUUCCAGUGUCCUCAAAUGUAUUUAUUUAUUUACUCAACAAAUAUUUACUGAGCACAUACUGUGUGUCAGGCACUGUCUUACGCAAUGUCUACAGAUAACCACCAAACACAGACAAGCAAAGUUCCUGAUGUUAUGGAGUUCCCAUUUCAUAUGGGUAUGUGAUAAACAAUAAAAACAUAAAAAUAUGAAUCAUUUCAGAUAGCCAUAAGCAAAUGACUAAAGUGAAACAACAUAAUAGGAUAGAGCUUGACUGAAACGUACUAGCUCAGAAAGGAUGAUUAGGAAAAACCUUUCUGCGGUGAUCUCAUUAGAGCCGAGAUGUAAAUGAUGAGAAGUCAACCAUGGGAAGAUCUGAAAGAGCAUUCUAUUGAUCUAAUUUCCAUGAUUUAUUCUGUAGACCGUGUCCCUCCAAGUAGUAGUUGCGUGUGCAGUUUUCCGUGGGUCUCAUUGAGUGUGUGUGAAAAGGCCAAUUUCCAAAUCUAGUUGGUGUUCAAUUAUCUCUUCUCAAGCCUACAUUUUUAGCGCUUUACAAGAAAAGAUUGAUGUAGGCUGCCUGCCCGAGGAUUGCCUUGUCAAGGAUAAAGGGCAGAGUGUAGCUGCAGAUUUCCAUAAUCCAGGAGCAAACUCAACAUACAAUAUUUAAGCCUAUCAUGAAUUCUUGGAAGGGAGGAAAAACUCUCUUUGAUAAGCACUUGUUGAGCACUUGUUAUUCAAGAAAAAAAUAUGUUUUUUUGAUAAAACAAAAUGUGGAUAUGUAGAGAUAAAUACGAUAUGGAUUCUGUUUCAAAGAGCUUACAGAUAAACUAAAAAAUUUUUAAAAAGUGAGAAACUAGAAGCAUAAAGUGAUGGGAACAAUUCUUUUGAAGAAAAGGUGAUUAAUUUCCACCAGGAGAAUAUGUAAAUGCUCCAAUGAGAAGUUAGGAUGUGACCUAAGUCUUGAAAUAUGAAACAUGAGACAUCAUAUCAAUAGAUAGUAUUAAAGGUCAUAGAACUAAAUGAUAUCAGUUAGGGAGUAAGUGGAGGGAAUAAAAAAAAAAAGCCUAAGGAUUGAACCCCCUGCACAAUGGCGUUAACGGCCUUGAAGAUGAGGAGGCACGAUAAACGGAGAUUUCAACCAUGUCAAAUGAUGCAUAGAUCCAGUAAGAUGAGCAGUGAAAACUGACCUUUGGAUUUAGGUAUUUGGAAGUAACUGGUGACCUCAAAAAGAUGUAUUUCAAUGGAGAGUAGAAAAGAACGAUUUAUUGAAAUGGACUCAAGAGAAAAAUGCAAGAAGAACUGAAAAUUGACAUUACAGAUCAGUGCUUCUCAAACUUUAAUGUCAUUUUGAAUCUUGGAGAUCCUCUAAAAUGUAGUUUCUGAUUCAAUAGGUCCAGAGCGAGACCUGAGAGUUUGUAUUUCUACCAAGCUCCUAGGUGAUGGUGAUACUGUUGGCUGAUCAUGAUUUGAGUAGCAAAAGAAGAGAAUCUUUCAGGAGUUUUCUAUAAAAGGAAGCAAUGAAAUGGGGUGGGUGAGCAAAGUAACUGGAGAGGAUGUAGGGUCAAGAGAAUUAUUUUUAGUAUUCUCAUUAUCACAGCAAGAGUGCUUGAAUACCAAUGGGAAUGAUCCAAAGUUGAGAGAAAAAUAAUGGAAGAUGGAGGAGAGAGGGGAUCAUUGUUUGAACAAUGUCCUUGAGUAGUCAAGGGAAAACGGCAUCCAGUGAUAAACGAAGGGGAAGCCCUGGAUGGAAGCACAGAUAGUUCAGCCACAUUACCAAGGUGGGAUGCAAAAUUCCUUGGUAUACAUGCAUAUGAGUUGGAUGGUUGAAUGCACAGAGGUUCUCUUCCAAUUGUUUUUAUUUCUCAGUGUAACAAGAUGCUUAGCUGAUAGGACUGGGGAAAAGAUGAUAGAGGUUUGAGGAAAGAGAGGACAGUAUGAAAUAAUCUGAGAUUGGGGAGGGAAGAAUGAAUAGGUGUAGCACAGAAGAUUUUUAGGAUAGAGAAAUGACCCUAUAUGAUACUGUAACAGUGGAUGCAUGUCAGUACACAUUUGUUCAAACCCAUAAGAAUGUACAACAUCAAGAAUGAACCCUAACGUAAACUAUGGACCUUGGGUGAUAAUGAUGUGUCAAUGUAGGUUCAUUAGUUAUAACGAGUGAAUCACUCUGGUGAGGGAUGUUGAUAAUGGGGGUGGCUAUGCAUGAGUUGGGGCAGGGGGUAUAUGGAAAAUCUCUGUACCUUCUCUCAAUUUUGCUGUGGACCUAAAACUGCUCAAAAAAAUAAAGUUUAUUAAAUAAUUAAAUAAUCCAUGAGGAGGUAAACUGACUAGGGCAGUUGUUCUCAACCCUAUCAGAUCCAAUGACCCCUUUUAUAAUACAUAUUUUUAAUACCUUUGCUACUAUUGUAAAAAUAAUGAUUAAUUUAACCUACCUACACACAUAUUUUCUGAAUCAAUAUAAUGCCCUCAUCAUAAUAUAAAUAAAUAAAUAAAAGGAAAUCGAUUCAUGAUAAAAUAACAUGUGUUUCCAUAUGUGAAUGCUCAGGCAUGAGUAUACAAGGCUAGGAGACCAAAAACUUCACAAAAAUACCUGAUGCCCUCUAGGGGGCGAUACUACCCUUGGUGAGAAUCAUUAUAUUGCUUGGCAUGACUAAAUGUCCACUCGAAGUUAGUAAUUAGGAUUUCACGGAAACUCAAUAACGCGUUGUGCGUUUUGUUCAGAGCAGGCCGAGUUGCAUUUAACCAGGGUGGCAGCUUUACCGGAGGAGAAAAUGGCCUGAGAAGGGAGUAAGGAAGUUUAAGGUCCAGAUCCACAAUGUCUUUCUGCAAUUUCAUAAUCCAAAAGAGAAUGGAAAAGAAACAGUUGGGGUUUUUUCAUAAGGUGGUUCACAACUCUUUUGGCAGCAAAAUUCAACCUAAACAGACACAAAGCUAUUUAGAGCCUGUAUGAAUCCCUCUUACUUGGGAACAAUCAUCAGUUUCACUACAGAAGAUAUUAUACAACAUGGUAUAGGAACUGUACUAUCUUUUUAAGAUUUAAAAAAAAAAUCUGAACUUGGAAAUACAUCAGACCUCAGGAGGUUGGGAUGAAGGAUUAUGACCUGUAUACAUAAGGGAAUUAGUCAAAUAAUGGGCCAUGUCAUCCAAGAUUGACCAGAUAAGAAGAAAGGGCAAGAGCAGUUAAGGGACAAUGAAGAGAAGGAGAGUCACUGGAUGGCAGAUUGUUGGGUUAGAAGAACUGAAAGUGAUCCAGGAAGAUUGGAAGGGACAGCCAAGGAGUGAGAUAGAUACUUAUUAACUGAGAAUAUGAAUCCAGGGCAGUCACAGGUAAUGAUGAGUUUGGACAAUGAGGUGCCUGAGGUGAAGAGGAAGCUUCCACGUGGAUAUUGAAAUCACUAAGAUGAAUGCAUCAAGGAGCAAUGGUGGUUAAUAUAGUCUGAUAUCUUUUUUUUUUCAGGUGAGGACCAUUGUCCCUGAGCUAACAUUUGUGGCAAUCUUCCUCUAUUUUGUGUGUAGGACAUUGCCACAGCAUGACCUGAUGAGCAGUGUGUAGGUCUGGGCCCAGGAUCCGAACCCAGGAUCUGCCCGUGAGCCCUGGGCCACGAAGCAGAGCACAGGAACUUAACCACUAUGCCACCAGGCUUGGCCCUAAUCUGCUAUCUUGAGGUUCAAAAGAGCUGGUUGGUGUGACAUAUAGGAAGACAGGAAGGUGUAGAGGGAGCAAUGAGAAAAAAGGAGAACACUCACUCCAUGGUGUGGGGUGACAGGUGUGAAGAGAAAACAGCCUCAAAGUGAGAGGGCUUCAGGAGAAGCCAGGUCCUGCGGUUUGUUAGGGCUAGAAGAUGAAUAGGUUGAGGAUACAAAAUAUUUUGCUGAUAAUGGUCAUCAGCAUCUAAGAACACAGAGGAGGAUUCGGGCGAUUCAGGAAGGGUGUCAUAUUGGUAUAGCAUUGUAUAAAUUUCAGGUAUACAUUAUUAUAUAUCAGUUUCUGUAUAGACAGCAUCGUGUUCCCCAUCGAUAGUCUAGUUUUUCAUCUGUCGCCAUACAUAUGCGCCCCUUUACCUCUUUCGCCCUCCCCCCACCCAUUCCCCUCUAGCAACCACUAAUCUGUUCUCCUUAUCUAUGUGUUUGUUUAUCUUCCACAUAUAGUCCAUUCUUAAGAGGAAGAAAGGAUUUUAUGAAACUCCCAAAUAAGAAUAUUCACGAAUCAUUGUCAAAGUCCAAGGAGAAUCUACGGUCUAAAAAAUUGCCUUUAGGUCCCAUGCUUAGGCCCAGUGCUGAAUUCUCAUAGAGACAAUGAAAUAUGAUGAUAUUUAUGCAGUUACAGCUUUCAUCUAAAGAGUAUAAAGAGUGUUGAAAAUGUAUGACCGGAUGAUGACAAAUCUCAUUCUUGUCAGUGUGAAGUACAAAACAGCCACAAUUCACAUUUAAAAAAACACAGAGUCCGCCUUCACUCAUUUCACCCACACCCUACCCCAACCUCUGGGUGAAAGGGGUCAAAAGGUCCAAAGUUCCAGUUGUAAAAUAAAUAAGUCCUGGAGACACAGUGUACACCAUGGUGACUCCAGUUAAUACCGCGCUGUAUAUGUGAAUUUUGCUAAGAGAGUAAAUCUUAAGAGUUCUCAUCACACACGCAAAAAACUUUUAACUAUGUGUGGUGCCGGAUGUUAACCAGACUUACUGUGCUGAUCAUUUCGCAAUAUAUACAUCUAUCAAAUCAUUAUGUGUGCACUUGAAGCUAAUAUAAUGUUCUAUGUUAAUUAUAUCAAAAAAAAUGCAAGGUUAAAAUGUCUCUUCGUAUGCCACCUUGAAAAAUAUGUGCUACCAAGACAUCAAAUUCCAAGGGGAAACUUACAUAUGAUUGAUUGGCUUUUUUUGUAGGGAAACUGCAAAAACGUAUUUUAAAAGCUCUUUAAACAACUGACUGAACUUGGAAAAAUUAAAUUUACCUUUAAAUUUUGUGUUAGGAUCUAAACUCUGGCCCAUAAACUAAUACUUGGGCUGCUUUGAGUAAGGCAUUUAUCAUUACCGACUUCCCAUUUUCUUAUAUAAAAUGGGUAAUAACAAGUCAAAAGGUUGCUAUCAAGAUCAAAUAAAUAUGUAAAAAGCAUUAUAAAUUACAGAAAAUAAUAAUGCAAGAGACUUUCUAUGAAGGAUAUAGCCACGGAGUUUGUAAAAUACCACAAUAUAAUGUAAAAUGCUACAUCUCAAAGAGUUAAGCAUGCUCAAGUUCAAAUCUGAGUUUAGCUACUUACCAGCGCAUAAACUUCCUUUGUGUCUCAGAGUUAUCAUUUCAAAACACAAAUAACAUGAUAAUAAUAAUCACUUUACACAUUGAAUUUCAAGAUAGAAUGAGAUGGUGCAUGCAAAGCAUUCAAUUAAUAUGAGCUAAAUCAGAUAGAGACAUUGCAGCUCCAACAAUGAAACUACUACGGUUUACAAGUUUAAGGUUAAUACGCAUUUAUAUAGGACGCAUGCUUUCUUGUAAUAUUCCAUUCCCAUCGCUCUCGGAAUGAGGAUCUAACGUCUUACCAUGACCUACAGGGCCCGGCGUCUGGCGCUGCACAUUCCCUCUUGCUCUCAUCUUUCUUUCACAGUGAUUCAAAUGCUCCGCUGUCAAGGAGAUUCUG